rnacentral:rRNA from 1 species
UACGUAGGUGACAAGCGUUAUCCGGAUUUAUUGGGCGUAAAGCGCACGCAGGCGGCUCUUCAAGUCUGACGUGAAAUCUCUCGGCUUAACCGGGAGCGGUCGUUGGAAACUGAAGGGCUUGAGGCGAUGAGAGGGGUGUGGAAUUCCCGGUGUAGUGGUGGAAUGCGUAGAUAUCGGGAGGAACAUCAGUGGCGAAGGCGGUUCUCUGGGCAUUACCUGACGCUGAGGAGCGAAAGUGUGGGGAGCGAACAGG